rnacentral:rRNA from 1 species
ACGGUGAAGCCCAGCUUGCUGGGUGGAUCAGUGGCGAACGGGUGAGUAACACGUGAGCAACCUGCCCCUGACUCUGGGAUAAGCGCUGGAAACGGCGUCUAAUACUGGAUACGAACCACAGUCGCAUGGCUGGUGGUUGGAAAGAUUUUUUGGUUGGGGAUGGGCUCGCGGCCUAUCAGCUUGUUGGUGAGGUAAUGGCUCACCAAGGCGUCGACGGGUAGCCGGCCUGAGAGGGUGACCGGCCACACUGGGACUGAGACACGGCCCAGACUCCUACGGGAGGCAGCAGUGGGGAAUAUUGCACAAUGGGCGCAAGCCUGAUGCAGCAACGCCGCGUGAGGGAUGACGGCCUUCGGGUUGUAAACCUCUUUUAGCAAGGAAGAAGCGAAAGUGACGGUACUUGCAGAAAAAGCGCCGGCUAACUACGUGCCAGCAGCCGCGGUAAUACGUAGGGCGCAAGCGUUAUCCGGAAUUAUUGGGCGUAAAGAGCUCGUAGGCGGUUUGUCGCGUCUGCUGUGAAAUCCCGAGGCUCAACCUCGGGCCUGCAGUGGGUACGGGCAGACUAGAGUGCGGUAGGGGAGAUUGGAAUUCCUGGUGUAGCGGUGGAAUGCGCAGAUAUCAGGAGGAACACCGAUGGCGAAGGCAGAUCUCUGGGCCGUAACUGACGCUGAGGAGCGAAAGGGUGGGGAGCAAACAGGCUUAGAUACCCUGGUAGUCCACCCCGUAAACGUUGGGAACUAGUUGUGGGGUCCUUUCCACGGAUUCCGUGACGCAGCUAACGCAUUAAGUUCCCCGCCUGGGGGAGUACGGCCGCAAGGCUAAAACUCAAAGGAAUUGACGGGGACCCGCACAAGCGGCGGAGCAUGCGGAUUAAUUCGAUGCAACGCG